UGAGUGCAGACACGGGUGUGAAAGGA
rnacentral:piRNA from 1 species